GCCCUGAAGUGGCCUUGACGCCUCCCGGCCGCCGUAGGCGGAGGUUGGGGGCCGGUGGCCCCGGGCGCCCACUUGGGUGCCCCCAGCCCCGCGGGGCCGUGGGCCUGAGGACGCUCGGCGGGCACAGGCCUGGUCAUUCGUUCGUCCAUUCAUUCACUCACUCCUUGAGCUGACUCAGGAAUAGAAAUGGGUUGUCUGCGGAUCCUAGAACAAGUUCUGGAGAUGGUGAACAGAUGGCCAAGCAGAAUUGCCAUAAUCCUCGAUAGCAAGAGGCAGCUUACCUUGUGGAAACUUGGGCCUCUCUUCUGACGACUGUAGGGAUUAAGAGAACAAGGAAUGGCAUGGGGGACAGUCCCCUCUAGGGGACAGGCAAGCCCCUGCCCAUCAUGUGACAACCCACCUGCCCCCACAGAUUUCCAGCACGCCCUCUGGUGAACCACUGGCCCAUUUCCACCCACUGAAGAUAAGCUAUAACUGUGCUGAUUGGAAGAAAUACAGCAAGACGAGUGCUGUCCGCUGGAUGUGAGUACAUUCGUGACUUCAGACUUUCCGGUAGCCGCAUUUAAGAACAAGGCUCUGCAGUCUCCUGUGGGAAGAUAUGCAUGGACCCAGCAUCCUUGCUACAGAACCCUGGGACUGCAGGCUUUUGUCAGAGAUGAUCCAUGAGUCGCCAUCAAGACCCAAAUAGACCGGUAGCCAAUGAGAACGUCGGUCUUCCACAAGCCCGCCUCCGCAGAACUGCAGGCUUUGUCGGGCCUCAUCUAGCCUCCUCAUGGGAACAAAUUCUGAUGUUCGGACCUGACCUUGACGAGCGUGCACCUUGUCAUUCUCCUGGAGAAGACGGGGAAACUGAAGAUUAGAGACACUCAAUGUAACCUGCCCAAGACCACAGAUGUGGCUCCGUUCCAGGGACUUUAAGUAUAUUAACAUUUGACUCUCGCACCCGCGCUUAAUUCGCCACCAUCUUCCCCAUUUGACAGAGGCAUAGAAAAGACAAAGGGCACACAUGAGGGGUGCAGGAAAAGGAGUUAAGGAGCCCGCCAACAAGAGGGACGCGAGGAUGGACGGAUCAAAGAAGAUAGCCUCAGGAGGCAAACAUCCGAGAUACGGGUUAUCGUGAUGAUAAAACAGAUCCCUCCAAUAUAGUGCAAGUCCACGCUUUACAGAAGAGCCACUGGGUGAUGUCCAGCAGCAGAAAAGAGACCACUGUCACGAGCUGUGGGAGCAAGGCCGAAUGGAUCGCGGUCACCCAGAACUGUGAGAGCCUCCAGUUCUGGAGGUCAGAAUUCCAACAUGGUUCUUACUGGGCUGAAGUCAAGUUGGGAACAGGGCUGUAUUCCUUCUGGAGGCUCCAGGGAAGAAUCUGUUUCCUCGUCUUCUCUAGCUUCUAGAGGCUGCCCACAUGCUCUGGCUCCCGGCCCCGUCCUUCACCGUCAAAGUCAGCAACGGAAAAUCACUAACCACAGGCAAUUCUGGAAACCAUUUUCCUCCAAGAACCCCGUCCUAAUGUGGGAAUCGGCUACAUCCACAACAAAUGGUUGACCAGAGUCGGAGGAAGAGGAGACUGUCAGAAACUUAUGAUGCAACCAAGCAGGAUUUCUUGGAAGCCAUUUCUCCUGACCCCUGAUCCUGGGAUAGGCUCAGCACCACACGGGACAAAGAACUAGAAUAACAGGGUGGACCCGGCAGGACUUUGGAAUCCGGUGGCCCCACAAUAAGUGUCUUUGGCUGGCUGCGUUGACUGCAUGAACUUGGCCACAGAACUUCCUCCAAAGAACGAGCAUUAACCUCCGGUUCUCAGAAGCAAAACAAGCCAAGUCACACAUUUCUAUGAAUUCUCUCCAUAAGCUGAGGAUUAGUAAUAAUAGCUAAAGCCGUGUCUGUUGAGUGAGCGUACAUGGCAGGCUCCUCACAGAUCUUGAGAGUAACGGGGCCUCCCAGAGUCGUGGGGAGCCCGGCUCAUGUCUAAGGAAACCAGGUCUCCGCCAGGAUAAGGAAGGGAGGUGAUGUCCUCAGGAGAGCCAGGAUCGGGUCCUAGCCUGCCCGCCAGCGCCAUCAUGGCUUGGGCAAGACUUUUCCUCUCCCAGCGCAAAUCCCAAAGCCAUAUGCAAAAGAGUGAUUAGCUAUAAGGAUAAAAUACAUGCUGGUGCCUGGUUUUAUUGAAUCCAAGUCUUUGUGCCACAGAGACGAUACUCCAGCAAGUAUAUCGACACCUCCCGAGGGCUCCCAAGAUGGAAGGAAGACCAUGUGUGACUUGUGGCUGCCGUGUCCCAGGCACUGUGUGGCCCACUGCCACAUGCUUUGCAGUGGAAAGAGCUUUGGAAAAAAAUACAGACACAUGUGUAGACAUCUGGGAGGGCAGUUCUGUGGUCCUCAGACGGCUCUGACAUUUUACGGAGGAGCCUGGAGAGCCAAGAUGGCUCCCGCAAACAUCCUGUCCUCAAGCGUUUGCCAAGACAAGGUAAAAUGGACAGCAAUCUCAUGUCGGUGCUCAAGGUCGGGAAGCGAUUCCAGUACAAAGAAAGCGCACGGACUUGUGCAAUGGCCAGGCAGGACCGGCACUGCAGCUGCAUUUAUUGCUGGGAGUUUCUGGAAACAGAUCUUUCUGACAGUAAAUUACAAUGCAUUUGGUGGGCGUUAUAUCAAUGACUAGACUCUUAGUCACCUUAACGAACUGAAAUCAAAUGACACCGGGACGGUGCAGGGAGGUGAGAUAUUAGCAAGUCCGAUUGCAGAUGUGAACGUAAUUUCAGGGGCAUUUUUAUAAUUGCUUUUAUGUUUUGAUUAAAUGCUUCACAUGAUCCUAGGCUACAAGGUGGAAGGCAGGAGUGAAGUGAGGAAACCCAAGGGUAUAUAUUUGCCUUCAUGUCCGUGCUGCGAGAAGGCCAGGGGAGGGGAUAUGCUUCCUCGCCACAUAAAACACAAAAUCUUCACUGUGCAGGCCACCUUGUGCACUUUCACACUCAAACACAAGACCCUGCAAACAGACCAAUGCUUAUUCGUGUGUAGCAAACACCAAUUUGAAGAUAGUUCUGAAAAUUUCAGAAGUGUCACAUGCAUCGUUUUAAAAAGGGGGAAGGAUUAAAUGGCAAAGCUCUGUAACGUUUACAUUUGCUGCUUGCUUAUCUCCUUUUCCACCUCUGUUCCAGGGCCGGUGGUUCCCAGCCAUGUUCUCUACCCAAAAGACCCAGGAAUUCCUUAGAUCUUUUCCAGCUGAAGUGUCCUGUAAGUCUUAGGGACACAGGUUCAGCCUGGUGUCUUUAAACACCCACCACCCCUGGAAGCCAGAGAGCUCUAGGUCUAGAAAUUUUAGCUCACCCGAUCUCUCCUCAGACUUCUUCCUUUGAGUCCUUUGUUCUGUGACGAAAAGAAACACAGGAACGUAAUAAUGUUGUCAUGAAAAAAACAGUGUUCUCCGAUCAAAGGAUUCACACUAUACAUGUAAAAUGGUGCAUUCGGUCAUCUGGCCAACACUCGUCCAACACCUCCAAGGCUCCACGCGGGUGAUGCAUGUCCUCAGGAUGGACACGAAGAUGGACCCCUUACCAACGUCUGUCAUGAUAUGAUAUGAAAUGAUAUGAUACAAUGAUAUGAUGAUAUGCAAUUCUAUUCUGUAUUAUAUAAUGCCAUGGUAUCACUAUGCUACAUGAUAGUAUCAUAGAGUAUAGUGUAUAUUUCUCUUGUCUAUUUGUCUGCCUUGUGUGUCUCUCUCUUACAGUAGAUAAUAAAAGGGAAUGGUCAGGAGUGUGGCCUUUGCA